rnacentral:rRNA from 1 species
AACGAACGCUGGCGGCAGGCCUAACACAUGCAAGUCGAGCGGACCCUUCGGGGUUAGCGGCGGACGGGUGAGUAACGCGUGGGAAUAUGCCCUUCUCUACGGAAUAGUCCUGGGAAACUGGGGGUAAUACCGUAUACGCCCUUUGGGGGAAAGAUUUAUCGGGGAAGGAUUAGCCCGCGUUGGAUUAGGUAGUUGGUGGGGUAAUGGCCUACCAAGCCGACGAUCCAUAGCUGGUUUGAGAGGAUGAUCAGCCACACUGGGACUGAGACACGGCCCAGACUCCUACGGGAGGCAGCAGUGGGGAAUCUUAGACAAUGGGGGCAACCCUGAUCUAGCCAUGCCGCGUGAGUGAUGAAGGCCUUAGGGUUGUAAAGCUCUUUCAGCUGGGAAGAUAAUGACGGUACCAGCAGAAGAAGCCCCGGCUAACUCCAUG